AAGUCCUGUCAGUCUUAGCCUGUAGCAGCAUGCAUUCUUAAAUGUGCUGCUACAGGCUAAGACUGCAAUGACUU